GAUGAAGAACGCAGCGAAAUGCGAUAAGUAAUGUGAAUUGCAGAAUUCAGUGAAUCAUCGAAUCUUUGAACGCACAUUGCGCCCGCCAGUAUUCUGGCGGGCAUGCCUGUUCGAGCGUCAUUUCAACCAUCUAGCCCCAGGCUUGUGUUGGGGACCUGCGGCUGCCGCAGGCCCUGAAAACCAGUGGCGGGCUCGCUGUCACACCGGGCGUAGUAGAUUUUAUCUCGCUCAGGGCGUGCUGCGGGUUCCGGCCGUUAAAAAGCCUUACAAAACCCAAGGUUGACCUCGGAUCAGGUAGGAAGACCCGCUGAACUUAAGCAUAUCAAUAAGCGGAGGA
rnacentral:misc_RNA from 1 species